CAGAGGUAAUGGUGCAAUAAUUACUCUGGUCACAUCUCCAAAAUACAGCCAACAUACUAUUAGGAAAACAUUGGCUUACGUUUUGCAGCUUUGCUCACUAUAAUCAUGACCAAUGCCAAAGAGUUUCAAUUCUUCACACCCAUGGGGGCCAGGUUCAUAAUGGAGACACACUUUAGGGCCAUUAUCGUUCUUCUCCUGAUCUUAUUAAUGUGGAAUCCUUGGCCGUUUUACAUCUUUUGGAUACAUGAAACUGUUAGGGGAAAUCCCCUGGUCCAAGACAGAUGCAAGAACAUCAAUUGCCAGGGCUAUGACCUUAAAGGUCUGUCAAACAUUUAACUAACCAGAGAAGAUUUUAUCUGGCGCAGGAACUGAAGUCAGGGCAACAAUUUUGUAUACAUUCAUGCCUGGAACUCUGCUACAGCGGGUUGUGUGCUAGAUAUACAAGGAUGUAUCCUGUUCCCUGUCUUUUUUUUCAACCUCCUAAGUGGAAUCACUUGCCUAAUUUAAAUGUGUAUUUUUCUGACCUUAGGCUUUUACCCCAGCUGCCAAGAGGAAAUGUUGUUCUCUUGCGAUACCUUUUUGGAGUGCUAUACAACAUUGAGCAACAUUCCUCAUCCAAUCAGAUGACAGCUUAUAAUUUAUCCGUUUGUAUAGCCCCAAGCGUUCUUUACCCACCUGAUUCCGGCAGCUUGGAAUUGGAAGACAACUUGAUAAAAAAGAUUUCUCUUGUAUAAUUUCUCCUUGAAAAUUGCCUCAGGAUAUUUGGCGAAGACAUCACUUCCUUCUUGGGAGAGAAGUCAAUGAGUCGUGACUCCGGCCAGAAAACUGUGAAAAGCUGUUCCUUCAGAGACAGGGCCUUUUGGUGGGGCUCCAGCACUUGCCAGCAAAACCAGUGCACAGCCCCACAUUCUGCAAAGCCAGGAGAGCUCUUUGGAGUUUGCCUCAUGGUUGUGUGUUAUAAAGACAACCUGGCCUUCCCAAUUCUGGACUUUCUAAGAAACAUCCCAGGAAGUGUAUUUUUAUCUGAUCUCUAUGACAAAUGGCUCGGUGUUAUUGAUCAAGGCAACAAAGAGGAGAUGAUAACUGCAGCUCGGAGGUAACGAUGCAAUAAUUACUCUACUCUGGUCACAUCUCCAAAAUACACCCAACAUACUAUCAGGAAAACAUUGGCUUACGUUUUCCAGCUUUGCCCACUAUAAUCAUGACCAACACCAAAGAAUUUCGAGUCUUCACACCCAUGGGGCCCAGCUUCAGAAUAGAGGCACACUUUAGGGCUAUUAUUGUUCUUCUCCUGAUCUUAUUAAUGUGGACUCCUUGGCCGUUUUACACCUUCUGGAUCCUUGAAACUGGUAGACAAAAUUCCCUGGUCCGAGACAGAUCAAGAGCAACAACUGCCAGGGCUAUGACCUUAAAAGUCUGUCAGACAUUUAACUAACCAGAGAAGUGUUUAUCUGGCUCAGGAACUGAAUUCAGUGCAACAAUUUUGUCUACAUUCAUGCAUGAAACUCUGC